CACCGUUCGCUGCAGCAUAGAAUCGCCGGAAACCGCCAUGCAGUUAAGCUUAGUUUCGUCCGUUUAGUAAUUCGCCGAUAACUCUCUAACCGUUGCGAAUCUCGUGCAUCCAACACCAUCAUCGUAUUCCUCUCGUCAAGACGAAGCCGUAGACACCAACCACGCCUCAAUCGGACCCCGGACGAAGCCGCACGCGCCUCCCGAAGAUUCGCCUCGGCGCGCGCGUGAAACACACGCGCCGCCGCCGUCCGCCGCAACUCCGCCGCCGGACCACCGUCCUCCGCCGCAGCUCCGCCGUCGCCGCCGGCCAACUUUCCGAUUUGGAGUCCAUUUGAGCAGCUGGAGUUCAUAUAUACCACUUCUCUUCAUUGCUAAGAUUGUCCCUGAUGAUGGGAAGUUGGGAACGAGAGGUGCGGCGGCAAACGUGGAUAUAAAGCAAGUGAAGAAAGAGAUCCAUCCUAAGAGGAAAGCUCUCAUGUGUGGUUUCGUAAAUGACAAUGGUUUGAACAUUUUUGCUUUAUGUUCUGAGUCGACCGGCAAGGCAAACUUAGCCGUUGGAUCUUCAGACUGGACGCUAUGGGAAGAUCUUGUAUCUUCGCCUUGGUCAGAGAAAGAGAAAACAUGUUCCUUCGCGGUGAUUUCAUGCAUGGAGGUCCCAAUAGAUCCUUCUUCUUCAUUACGGUAAGCCAUUAUUGUUCCCAGGAAAUUGGAGAAGAAGCCUUCGUCUUGUUUUUCUCACGCCUUUGCUUGUACAUUUGUUAGAUUUAUUUUUUCUUACCAUAUAUAUAUAGCCGUACAAAUAUCGCAUGCUUUCUUUUGUAACUGAGAAAUGUAGCAUGUUACUUUAAGAAAAUUAAAAAAUAUUUGAUGGAAGAUAUA